UCGGGGGCUGGGGUACGUGGCCGGGCACUGCUGGGAGCCCCAUCUGAGGUCUCCUUUGGUGGAGUUAAUGCAUUUUUGGUGCAGGUUUUACGGUCCCCGUGUAAUGCAAGCACUGCUGGUAUUCGCUAGGAUCCCAAAAUGAGCCAUUUUACAUGGCUAGCUCUGGACUGCACCCGUUUCCAGGCCAGGAUGGUUUGGGCUGCACAGACGGGGCGUUCUGGGGACACCAGGGCAUGGUCUUGGCACCCAAACGCACAGACCAGAUGGCUGAUGGACUCAGAAUUUCCAGGGAUUCUCCAAAGAGGGUAAGCAGAGGUGCUGGAUACUGCCCUAAUCCCAGUGAGUACCAGGAGGCAUGAGGAGAGGCACCUGAAUUGGCUCCACCUGUGUGCUGCUGCCUGGCUUUGUCCACAGUUUCUUCUGCUUCUCAGUUUCAGGUAUUGGCUGUUACUUUGAAGAAUGUUUUUUGUUCCUUCCUGCAAAACCCCAAGAGCUGCAGCUGUUUCCCAGCAGGGCCGAGGCUGGGGGGUAUCAUGUCCCCUGAGGUGCUGGGGGCAGCAGGGCUGGGACCAGAACGGCUGCGGCAUUCCUGCAGGUCACCUGAACAAGAAGAGCCUUUCUGCCUUUCUGUAGCAGUUUCUGAUGAGAUCAAGGGUGUAAUUAAAUGCACAGUUAACACAGUUUCCCAGCUGAUGUGUUUAGGCAGCUGUUUACCAGUCCCCUGUGUGUGCUUGCUGGCCCUGGUUUAUGGCUAAGAUUAGAAGUUAAAGUUUUGACUUCACACAGUAGUAGUUGUAUUUGUGCAUUGAUUUUUACCACGCUUUUCUUUCCCGCCAAGGAAACAGACUGUUUUAUUGUCCCUUUCUCUCUCUGAGCCCUUCCCGUCUGUGUGCCUGACCCCGCAGUCUCUCAGCCACUGGGUUAUUGCCAGGACCCACAAGUGACCGUGGACAGAUGCGGCACUGGCUGCUGGCCGUGAUGUUUCAUGGCUCUAGGAGCUGCCGGGCAUGACGGCCACUUGCUCACAGGGCUGCUGGCAUCGGAGGAACCGGCUGACACCGCGGCUGCUCCCACCGCUGGUCCCAUUCUACACCGCAGCGUGAUGAGUGGUGUUUUACUGCAGACGUGGGUGGUGUUUGUGCUGAAGUAAAACAAACUAAAGGACGUCCAGGCCCUGGACAUGAAGACUUUGCUGUGUGGAAGCCGAGAGCUGUCCCUGAAGGACAACAGACACCCCAGGACAUCCAAGCCUCUCUCCUCGGACGGCACGAUCCGGGUGUGGAUGUACGGACCGGUGCUGGGCCCUGCUCUGCUCCUCUGCUCCGGGGCCUCACGCAGGCAGCCGCGCUCAAAAUGUGCUGCGGUGGGAGCAGAGGCCACUCCAGGGACCCGCCCCAGCUCCUGCAGCCCCGUCGGUGGAUGGUGAAGCCAGGCAACAGGGAGCGAUGCCAUCCCAGAGCUGCUGGUCCCUCGGGAGAUGUUGGUGGCCCCAGUGAUGCCUGUGGCUGUGCCCAUGCGUGGGGAAGGCUCAUCCCAGUGCCCAGGGAUGGACGGAUGGACGGAGGAGCCCCAGCCACACUGGGACCUGCGUGGGGUAAGGAGCCCCGGGAAGGAGCCGGGCUGCCUGCGCUGAGGCUGAUGCUGCCACCUGCCCUGCGCCUGGUUGGGGACAGGGGACAGUGUGGCCUGCAGCCCCCCGGAGACCUGUGAGGACUGCAGCGCUCCAGGUCCAGCUCGUUUGUGGCUCCUGUUUGUUUCUGCUCUGGUUCCAGUCCAGCUGAUGGAUGGCUCCAGCUCCAUUCCAGCUCAUGGAUGGCUCUGGCUCAUUUCAGCUCCUGUUUGCUGUGCCUCCAGCUCAUUUGCACCUUCAGUUUUGGCGCCAGCUCGUUUGCGGCUCCUGUUUGUGUCUGCUCUGGAUUCAGUCCGGCUCAUGGAUGGCUCCAGCCCCAUUCCAGCUCAUGGAUGGCUCUGGCUCAUUUCGGCUCCAGCUCAUUUGCACCUUCAGUUUUGGCUCCAGCUCGUUUGCGGCUCCUGUUUGUUUCUGCUCUGGAUUCAGUCCGGCUCAUGGACGGCUCCAGCUCGAUUCCAGCUCAUCGCGGCUCCAGCUCAUUUCAGCCCCUGUUCCUUGUGGCUGCAGCUCAUUUGCCCCUUCAGGUCCAGCUCCUGGUGGGCUCCAGUUGGGUUUCAUCUCCUGGGCAGUUUUGGCUCCAGCCCAUUGAUGGUUCCAGCUCGUUUUCGCCUCCAGCUCUUGGGUGGUUCCAGCUCUGGCUCCAGCCCCAGCCCAUCACAGCUUGUGCUUGUUCAACUGCUCCUGGCUUUUGGCCAGGUCGUAAAUCAAUCACUGUCAUGGCCUGUAUAUGAAUAUGAACUGUCAUAAUUGUACACGUGUUGCCUAAUGAGUGUGUUUAUUGUUCAAUGACUAGUCCGGUGAAUAAACAGUUGGACUCUCAAAUGAAGUGGGAAAAGUGCCUUUUCGCCCAGAGACUAUCUCAGGCGUUUAAUUCGGCCUGGUGCAUGCCGGCGUCCCGCACUUUGGGGAACAACGCGACCGGACCCCCACCUCCGGCGGGGGUCCACGCACCCUGCCUACCCCCCCUCC